GUAGGUGAACCUGCGGAAGGAUCAUUACCAAAUCCAAAAAAAACUUUAUCAACACCACUAUGUGAACUGAGAAUGGUUUCGUUCCCUCCAGAAGCCUUUUGAGUCGGAGACCCUCUGGCUUAUUGGUGGAGGAGGGAAUGUCUAUUUUUUUUCAACCCCUUUACAACCAUCCAACCUAUUCUUUAUGCUGAAAGCAAAACAAAAACGAAACAUGAGACAACUUUUAACGGUGGAUCUCUUGGCUCGU
rnacentral:misc_RNA from 1 species